rnacentral:rRNA from 1 species
CAGCAGCCGCGGGAAUACGGAGGGGGCUAGCGUUGUUCGGAAUUACUGGGCGUAAAGCGCACGUAGGCGGCUUGGUAAGUUAGAGGUGAAAGCCUGGAGCUCAACUCCAGAAUUGCCUUUAAGACUGCCGAGCUAGCAGGUGAGAGAGGUAAGUGGAAUUCCGAGUGUAGAGGUGAAAUUCGUAGAUAUUCGGAAGAACACCAGUGGCGAAGGCGGCUUACUGGCUCAUACUGGACGCUGAGGUGCGAAAGCGUGGGGAGCAAACAGGAUUAGAGACCCGCGUAGUCCCUGUCUCUUAUAA